rnacentral:lncRNA from 1 species
GCUUAUCAAUCCAUCGUAUUCCUUUGUCUUCUUGUCACAAAAAGAAUUUCGUCAGUCUGGAAGGGGAGUUUUACUUACGUAAAUGGAUGUAGACCAGACUCAAGCAUGUAAGAACUGUGUUAAUGUGGAUUUCUAAGCCUCUGAAUGAAUUUCUAAGGCACCUAACCUAUUGUUUCUGAAAAUAUUUACUUUAAGGGCUGCCCUGAAGGGCAGACAGGUUUAUUGGGCAACAGCUGGGAAAAUCAGCGGUUGGACUUGGCCACAUGCUCCAAGAAGGCCACACGUCCUUCUUCUUAAUGGCAUAGGAGUUGGAGGAGCCCUUGGCAGCAUUGAUGAGCUCCUCUGCCAGGCACUCAGCAAUGGUCUUAAUGUUCCGGAAGGCAGCCUCACGAGCACCUGUGCACAGCAGCCAGAUGGCCUGAUUCACACGGCGAAGUGGGGACACGUCCACAGCCUGUCGUCUCACAGUCCCGGCGCACCCAAUGCGUGUGGAGUCCUCCCGGGGACCACUGUUGAUGAUGGCGUUCACCAGGACCUGCAGAGGGUUCUCGCCUGUGAGCAGGUGUAUGACCUCGAAGGCAUGCUUGACGAUGCACACAGUCAUGAGCUUCUUGCCGUUGUUGCAGCCGUGCAUCAUCAUGGAGUUAGUAAGGCGCUCCACAAUGGGACACUGAGCUUUGUGGAAGCAUUUGGCGGCAUACCACCCUGCACUGUGAGGUAGGUACUUGGCAUAUUUCUCCUUCACUGCAAUGUAAUCCUGCAGGGAAAUGUCACUGAUGUGCACAUCAUCAGUGCUCCACUUCCCAAAGAGCUUGAUGUCUGGGGUCUCUGCCACUGCUGGUGCUGCUGUCUCCCACUCAGUCAUCGUGAGAACACAGCCUGAGUGUCUCUGUUGCUCGACGUAGACCAUGCGCCACCCUGGCACAGACAGGAAGAGCAAACUUACUUGUAAUUUAAAGGAAAAAUAAAAGGAAAGUAAUUUUUAAAAUAUCUAUUUUAAAAUAUAAAUGCUUUGACAUGCCAGCACUUUACAGCAUGAUAAAUUAGUUAAAUGGUUAUACCUGUAGACUUACCAGUGUAUGAAACUACUGAUGCAACUCGAUAUAGGUGUAUGGUACUAGAGACAUAAGCAGCAAUGCUCUUCUGAGAUAGAUUUUCUGAAAUUUUGAGCAGCUUUAUGAUAAAGUUCUGGAGGAAAAGGACAAAAUUUCUUCAAUUCACAUUUAUAUCUCUUUGAUUAUAAGACACAUCUUUUUUCCCCACAUUUUAUUUAAGUUCAGGGGUAUAUGUGCAGGAUAUAUAGGUAAACGUGUCACUGGGGUUUGUUGUAUAGAUUAUUUCAUCACCCAGAUAUUAAACUUAGUACCUAUGAGUUAUUUUUCAUUAUCUUCUCCCUCUCCCAACCCUCCAUCCUUAGAUAAACCCCAGUGUGUGUUGUUCGUCCAUGUGUUCUCAUCAUUUAGCUCCCACCUAUAAGAGAAUUCGUGGUAUUUGGUUUCCUGUUCCUGCUUUAGUUUGCUAAAGAUAAUGGCCUACAGCUCCAUCCAUGUUCCUGCAAAGGACAUGAUCUCAUUCUUUUUUAUGGCUGCAUAGUAUUCUGUGGUGUAUAUGUACCACAUUUUCUUUAUCUAGCCUAUCAUUGAUGAGCAUUUAGGUUGAUUCCAUGGCUUUGCUAUGUGAAUAACACUGCAGUGAAUAUAGACAUGCAUGUGUCUUUAUGAUAGAAUGACUUAUAUUCCUUUGGGUAAAUACCUAUUAAUGGGAUUGCUUGGCCAAACAAUCUGUCUGUUUUGAGGUCUCUGAAGAAUCACCACACUAUAUUCCACAAUGGAUGAACUAAUUUCUACUCCCACCAACAGUGUAUAAGCAUUCCUUCUUCUCCACAACCUCGCCAGCAUCUGUUUUUUACUUUUUAAUAAUAGCCAUUCUGACUGGUAUGAGAUAGUAUCUCAUUGUGGUUUUGUUUGCAUUUCUCUAAUAAUCAGUGAUGUUGAGCUUUUUUUUUCACAUGAAUAUUGGCUGCAUGUAUGUCUUUCUUAGAAAAAUAUCUGUCCAUGUCCUUUGCCCACUUUUUAAUAGAGUUCUUUGUUUUUUCUUGUGAAUUUAAGUUCCUUAUAGAUGCUGGAUAUUAGACUUUUGUCACAUGCAUAGUUUGAAAAAAUUUUCUCCCAUUCUGUAGAUUGUCCUUUCACUCUGCUGAUGGUUUUCUUUGCUGUGCAGAAGCUCUUUAGUUUAAUUAGAUACCAUUUGUCAAUUUUUGCUUUUGUUGCAAUUGUUUUUGGUGUCUCUGUCAUGAAAUCUUUGUCCAUUCCUAUGUCCAGAAUGGUAUUUCCUAGGUUGUCUUCCAGGGUUUUUAUAGUUUUGGGUUUUACAUUUAAGUCUUUAAUUCAUCUUGAUUUAAUUUUUGUGUAUGGUAUAAGGAAGGGGUCCAGUUUCACUCUUUUGCAUAUGAUUAGCCAAUUAUCCCAGUACCAUCUAUUGAAUAGGGAAUCCUUUCCUCAUUGUUUGUUUUUGUCAGGUUUGUUGAAGAUCAGAUACCUGUAGGUGUGCAGUCUUAUUUCUGGGUUCUGUAUUCUGUUCCAUUGGUCUACGUGUCUGUAUUUGUAUCAGUACCAUGCUGUUUUGGUUACUGUAGCCCUGUAUUAUUGUUUGAAGUUGGGUAGUGUGAUGCCUCAAGAUUUGUUCUUUUUGUUUAGGAUUGCCUUGGGUAUUUGGGCUCUUUUUGGCUUCCAUUUGAGUUUUAAAAUAGUUUUUCUAGUUCUGUGAAGAAUGUCAAUGGUAGUUUAAUAGGAAUAGCACUGAAUCUAUAAAUUGCUUUGGGCAGUAGGACCAUUAUAACAAUAUUGAUUCUUCCUGUUCAUGAGUGUGUAAUGUUUUUCCUUUAUGCAUCUCCGAUUUCUUUGAGCAGUGUUUUGUCGUUAUCCUUGUAGAGAACUUUAAUCUCUGUGGUUAGGUGUAUUCCUAGGUACUUUAUUUAUUUAUUUAUUUAUUUGUUGAGACAGAGUCUCACUCUGUCACCUAGGCUGGAGUGCAGUGGUGCGAUAUCAGUUCACCGCAAGCUCUGCCUCCCAGGUUCACGCCACUCUCCUGCCUCAGCCUCCCGAGGUACUUUAUUUUUUUGUGUGGCUAUUGUGAAUGGGAUUGCCUUCCUGAUUUGGCCCUCAGCUUGACUGUUUUUGGUGUGUAGGAAUGCUAGUGAUAUUUGCACAUUGAUUUUGUAUCCUGAGACUUUGCUGAUGUUAUCAGCUUAAGGGCUGAGACUAUGGGGUUUUCUAGAUACAGGAUCAUGUAGUCUGCAAAGCGGGAUAGUUUGACUUCCUCUCUUUGGAUGCACUUUCUUUCUUUCUCUUGCCUGAUUGCCCUGGCCAGGACUUCCAAUACUGUGUUGAAUAGGAGUGGAAAGAGCAGGCAUCCUUGUGUUGUGCUGCUUUUCCAGAAGAAUGUGUCCAGCUUUUGCCUAUUCAUUAUGAUGUUGGCUGUGGGUUUGUCAUAGAUGGCUCUUGUUAUUUUGAGGUAUGUUCUUUCAAUACCUACUUUGAGAGUUUUUAACAUGAAGGAGUGUUGAAUUUUAUUGAAGGCCUUUUCUGCAUCUAUUGAUAUAAUCAUAUGGUUUUUGUCUUUAGUUCUGUUUAUGUGAUGAAUCACAUCAUUAAUUUGUGUUUGUUGAACCAACCUUACAUCCCAAGGAUAAAGCCUGCUUGAUCAUGGUGGAUAAGCUUUUUGAUGUGCGGCUGGAUUUGGUUUGCUAGUAGUUUGUGGAGGACUUUUGCAUUGAUGUUCAGCAAAGAUAUUGGCCUGAAAUUUUCUCUUUCUGUUGUAUCUCUGCCAGGUUUUGGCAUCAGGAUGAUGUUGGCCUCAUAGAAUAAGUUAGGGAGGAUUCCCUCCUUUUCAUUUUUUUUGGAAUAAUUUCAGUAGGGAUGAUACUAGUUCUUCUUUGUACAUCUGGUAGAAUUCAGCUGUAAAUCUGUCUGGUCCUGGGGUUUCUGUUGUUGUUGUUGUUGUUGUUUUGGUUGGUAGGCUUUUUAUUACUGAUUACAUUUCAGAACUCAAUAUUGGUCUGUUCCUGGAUUCAGUUUCUUCCUAGUUAAGUCUUAGGAGGUUGUAUGUAUCCAGGAAUUUAUCCAUUUCUUCCAGAUUUUCUACUUUAUGAGCAUAGAGGUGUUCAUAAUAUUCUCUGAUGGUUGUUUGUAUUUCUGUAGGAUCAGUGGUAAUAUCCUCCUUGUCACUUCUGAUUGUGUUUAUUUGAAUCCUCUCUCUUUUUAUCUUUAUUAGUCUAGCUAAUGGUCUGUUUUAUUAAUGUUUUCAGAAAACCAGCUCCUGGAUUCGUUGAUCUUUGAAAUUUUUUGUGUGUCUAAAUCUCCUUCAGUUCAGCCCUGAUUUGGUUAUUUCAUGUCUUUUGCAUGCUUUAGGAUUUGUUUGCUCCUGGUUCUCUAUUUCUUCUAGUUGUGAUAUUAGGUUUUUAACUUAAGAUCUUUCUAACUUUUUGAUGUGGGAAUUUAGUGCUAUAAAUUUCCUUCUUAACAUUGCCUUAGCUGUGUCCCAGAGAUUCUGGUAUGUUGUCUCUUUAUUCUGAUUAGUUUCAAAGAACUUCUUGAUUUUUGCCUUAAUUUCAUUAUUUACUCAAAAGUCAUUCAGGAGCAGGUUAUUCAAUUUCCAUGUAACUGUAUGGUUUUGAGUGAAUUUCUUUGUCUUGAUUUCUAAUUUGAUUUUGCUGUGGUUCAAGAGAUUUUUUGUUAUAAUUUCAGUUCUUUGGCAUUUGCUGAUGAGUGUUUUACUUCCAAUUAUGUGAUCAAUUUUAGAGUAUAUGCCAUGUGGGAAUGAGAAGAAUGUAUAUUCUGCUAUUUUGGGGUGGAGAGUUCUGUAGAUGUCUAUCAGGUUCAUUUGAUUCAGUGCUGAGUUCAGGUCCUAAAUAUCUUUGUUAAUUUUCUGCCUCAACAAUCUAAUAUUGUCAGUGGUGUGUUAAAGUCUCCCGCUAUUAAUGUGUAGGAGUCUACGUCUCUUUGAAGGGAUCUAAGAACUUGCUUUAUGAAUCUGGGUGCUCCUGUGUUGGGUGCAUAGUUAGGUCUUCUUAUUGAACUGAAUACUGUUUUGCCAUUAUGUAAUGCCCUUCUUUGUCUUUUUUUUUUUUAUCUUUGUUGGUUUAAAGCCUAUUUUGUCAGAAGCUAGGAUUGCAACCCUUGCUUUUUUCUGUUUUCCAUUUGCUUGGUGAAUUUUCUCCAUCCCUUUAUUUUGAGCCUAUAUAUGUCAUUGCAUGUGAGAUGGGUCUCUUGAAGACAGCAUACCAAUAAGUCUUGAUUCUUUAUCCAGCUUACCAUUCUGUGUCUUUUAAUUGGGGCAUUUAGGCCAUUUACAUUCAAGGUUAGUAAUGACGUGUGUGGAUUUGAUCCUGUCAUCAUGAAGCUGGCUGGUCAUUUUGCAGACUUGUUUAUGUGGUUGCUUUAUAAUGUCCCUAAUCUGUGUACUUCAGUGUGUUUUUGUAGUGGUCAGUAAUGAUCUUUCCUUUCCACAUUUAGUGCUUCCUUCAGGGGCUCUUGUAAAGCAGAUCAGGUGGUAACAAAUUUGGCAUUUGCUUGUCUGAAAAGGAUCUUAUUUAUCCUUUGCUUAUGAUGCUUAGUUUGGCUGGAUAUGAAAUUCUGGGUGGAAAAUUCUUUUAAGAAUGUUGAACAUUGGCCCUCAAUGUCUUCUGGCUUGUAGGAUUUCCACUAAGAAGUCCACCAUAAGUCUGAGGGGCUUCCCUUUGUAGGCAAUCUGCCCUUUCUCUCUAGCCACCUUUGACAUUUUUCUUUCAUUUCAGCCUUGGAGAAUAUGAUGAUUAUGUGUCUUGGGGAUGAUCUUGUGAAGUAUCUUACUGGGGUUCCCUUUAUUUCCUGUAUUUGAAUGUUGGCCUCUCUCACUAGGUUGUGGAAGUUCUCAUGGAUAAUAUCCUGAAAUAUGUUUUCCCAGUUGGUUCCAUUCUCCUCAUCUCUUUAAGGGACACCAAUGAGUUGUAGAUUUGGUCUCUUUACAUAAUCCCAUAUUUCUCAGAGGUUUUGCUCAUUCCUUUUCAUUCUUUUUUCUCUAUUCUUGUCUGACUAGCCAGUCUUCAAUCUCUGAGAGUGUUUCCUCUGCUUGGUCUAUUCUACUAUUAAUACCCAUGAUUGCAUUAUGAAAUUCUUGUAGUGUGUUUUUCAGCUCUAUCAGAUCGGCUACAGUCUUUUCUAUACUGGCUAUUUUGUCUGUCAGCUCUUGCAUUGUUUUAUCAUUAUUUUCAGCUUCCUUGGAUUGGGUUUCAAUGUACUCUGGUAGCUGAAUGGUCUUCAUUCCUAUCCAUAUUCUGAAUGUCAUUUAAGCCAUCUCAGCCCAGUUCAGAACCCUUACUGGAGAUGUGAGCCCAUCCUUUGGAGGAAAUAAGGCACUUUGGCUUUUUGAGUUGUCAGGGUUCUUGUGCUGAUUUUUUUCUUAUCUUUGUGGUCUUGUGUUCCUUCAAUCUUUGAGGUUGCUGACCUUUGGAUGGUUUUUCUUUUAUCCUAUUAUAUUUGAUGAACUUGAGCAUUUGUGGUGUAAGGUGGACUCAGCCAACUGGCUGUGUUUCUGGAAGAUUUUUAUGGGGCCAGCACUCAGCUCCCAAGUCCUACACUUCAAGCUGUAAUUCUGGGGGAACUUAUAUUAGGCCCUGACUUUGUUUUCUGGCUCCUCAAGGUUAGGAAUUCACUGUGUUGGGGGAACUGAGGUGCUCCCGGACCACUGUUCACUACACUUUGAUGGGUGGUAUCAGCCAAAGUGUUUCAUAUUGCAGCAACAGGGGGAUCUGUCUUCGUUCACAUGUGCCAGCAGCAGUGGUAGUAACAGCUGCAGCAGAGUGCUAGCAGGUGCCAUGCUAGCAGGCGCCAUGCUAGCAGGCAUUCACCACAGUGGCAGAGGAAAUGCAGCUGCAGGGGUGGGGAGUGGAAGGAGUGGCCCCAGAUGGUGACUGUGUGCACAGUCAUGCUGGAGGUGGUGUUGACUCAGGGGUGGGUCACUGAUGGGCACAGGUCUGGGUGCCUUUUCUGUGCCCUGCAAGCAGGAGUGAUUGCUCAGGGCAGGGAAGGAUCUGCUGUUCUCUGUGUAGUGUUAGUGCAAGGGUGGGGUGCUGGCAGGGACUGGGCUGGCUGGCUCUGUGCCCACCAAGGCUCUGUCUACAAUGGCAGUCAGCAGGGGGAGUGGAGUAGACAGCACUCCCACAUGCUGGUGGGGCAGUGAAAGCAGAAUCUGCCCAUACAGACGUGCUAGCAAAGUGAUGUGGGGAGUUGGUGUGAGCCCAGGGGAAGCUGCAUUAUGAGGAGAGAGCAUGCAGGCUGGCACAUGGCUGUAGUGGCCACCCCACUGGAGCUCCCUGCUGGUUAAGCAUGGUCCACCAGCACAGAAGGUAUGGUGUGGGCCCCCAGGGAACCCGAGACCACCCUGCAAGCAGGAAUGGCCAGGCUGGGGCCCCAGGAGAGGCCAGCAAAUCAAGGGGUGCUCAAGUCAGACCUGCCCAGUCUGAUGGACAAGACCACUCUGCAGAGUUCAGAUCUGACAGUUCCCCUAGGGUUAACAUCUCCUAUGUGAGCAAGUCAAGCCUAGAGGGGACAGCCUUCCCUAGUUGUGCUCUGCUACAGAUGCUCCCACAUCAAACCCUCUGGGUUCUGCAUCAGAUGGCUUGCUGCCCCUACCCCUUCUCUAAUUAGCUCUCUCUGCCACCUUGAGUGUCCAUGGUGGUCAAGGGGUUCCCUUCUGCCAGGGUUCCAGAGGCCGCGUGAGAGUAGGUUGCUCCUUGCCAGUUCAACUCACCCAUUCCCUUGGAGCCAGUGGAAGCCAGGAAUGAGUCCUGGUGUGCAGUAGCCCCAUGCAGGGUUCCCAGCUUUCUCCCCUUUUAACCCAGUUUCUUUUUCCACACUUUAACAUCUCUGAAAUGACUAUCCAUGAUAUAAUCAAUGGCAUCUUACAACUGCUACCAGCAGAACAGCAGUCAUGGUAUACUAGUCAUCCAGGAGGUGUGAACUUGGCUGUUAGUCUUGCCGACAUUAUUGGACAACUGCAACCUCUUGACGUUUCAAUCAGUAAACUCUUUAAGAGCCAUUUGAGGAAGGAAAAUAAGCCUUAUUUGUUCCCUGAAAAUAUUCUGUUGAUAUCUUCUGGUAAAGUCAAGAAAGUGCCAGCAUCAAAACUUGCAGAAUGAGUACUGGAGGCUUAGGGGAAAAAAUCUCAGAAGCAUACUGUUAUUAGUAGUAGAACAUUCUACUAAGAUAUGUUGUCAUCAUCAAAAUUAUUCAAGAAUUUUGAAUAGUAAUUAAGAUUACUAUUAUAAAUGGGAAAAUAAUUAGAAUAGUGAAACUAGUUUAUUUCACUCAUAAUUUACUUUGUAUAUAUACCUAUGAGUGAUAUAUGAU